ACAUGCCUACAACAUAGCGUUAAUGCAUCAGAUCCCAUUAGAACUCCACAGUUAAGCACACUCGAUCGAGAGUAGUACUGGGAUGGGUGAUUGCUCGGGAAGUACUAGUAUUUUACAUGCC
rnacentral:rRNA from 1 species